rnacentral:rRNA from 1 species
UGUGGGUGGUGCUGUCUGAAUGACUUCGGUUAGUCAGAUGAUCACUACCCCCUUCCAGUAUCCAGUAGUGGGUAUUCACUUACUUACUACUGUGUGUUGGUCCUUUACUGUGAGAAAAUUAGAGUGUUCAAAGCAGGCGUUUGCUUGAAUAGAUUAGCAUGGAAUAAUAAUUGAAGGCUUUCGUGUUCGAUUUGAUUGGUUUGUUCAUGGAAGCAAGGUUAAAAGGAACAGUUGGGGGUAUUCAUAUUCACUAGUUAGAGGUGAAAUUCUCGGAUUUAUGGAAGAUGAACAAGUGCGAAAGCAAGAC